GAACGAUGAAGCCCAGCUUGCUGGGUGGAUUAGUGGCGAACGGGUGAGUAACACGUGAGUAACCUGCCCCUGACUUUGGGAUAAGCCCGGGAAACUGGGUCUAAUACCGGAUAUGACUAUGGAACGCAUGUUUUGUGGUUGAAAGAUUUAUCGGUGAGGGAUGGACUCGCGGCCUAUCAGCUUGUUGGUGAGGUAAUGGCUCACCAAGGCGACGACGGGUAGCCGGCCUGAGAGGGUGACCGGCCACACUGGGACUGAGACACGGCCCAGACUCCUACGGGAGGCAGCAGUGGGGAAUAUUGCACAAUGGGCGGAAGCCUGAUGCAGCGACGCCGCGUGAGGGAUGACGGCCUUCGGGUUGUAAACCUCUUUCAGUAGGGAAGAAGCGAAAGUGACGGUACCUGCAGAAGAAGCGCCGGCUAACUACGUGCCAGCAGCCGCGGUAAUACGUAGGGCGCAAGCGUUAUCCGGAUUUAUUGGGCGUAAAGAGCUCGUAGGCGGUUUGUCGCGUCUGCCGUGAAAGUCCGAGGCUCAACCUCGGAUCUGCGGUGGGUACGGGCAGACUAGAGUGAUGUAGGGGAGACUGGAAUUCCUGGUGUAGCGGUGAAAUGCGCAGAUAUCAGGAGGAACACCGAUGGCGAAGGCAGGUCUCUGGGCAUUUACUGACGCUGAGGAGCGAAAGCAUGGGGAGCGAACAGGAUUAGAUACCCUGGUAGUCCAUGCCGUAAACGUUGGGCACUAGGUGUGGGGGACAUUC
rnacentral:rRNA from 1 species